rnacentral:rRNA from 1 species
AUGCCCGCAGAUGCGCCCCCGGACGAGAUCGACUGGGCGACCCACACGGAGCUGCUUCGCAAUCAGCUCGAACGCGCCCAAGCUCGCUUCAAGAAACAGGCAGAUCGCCACCGCGCCGAACGUGCCUUCGAUGUGGGGGAGCAAGUGCUCCUCAAGCUGCAACCUUAUGCACAAUCGUCCGUCGCCAACCGCCCGUGCAAGAAGCUGGCGUUCAAGUUCUUCGGCCUGUUCACCGUGUUGGAGCGCGUGGGCAACCUGGCGUAUCGCCUGCAUCUGCCACCGGAUAGCCGUAUCCAUCCGGUCUUCCAUGUCUCCCAGCUCAAGCCGUUCGUCGCCGACUACACCCCUGUCUUCGCCGAGUUGCCCAAGAUUCCGGACCUCACCAUCGACGACCGUUUUCCGGUGGCCAUCCUAGACCGCUGCAUGAUGAAGAAGGGGAACGCAUCAGUGGUGCAAGUGCAAGUUCACUGGAGCUCUAUGACGCCCUCCUCCGCGACCUGGGAAGACUACGCCGUCCUGCGCCAGCGCUACCCCAACGCACAGCUGUGGGCAGAAGAGGAAGCUGCUGCUCGAGGGGGGGAACCUGUCACGCCUGCUGAUCGAUCACAGCAGCGGACUGAAGAUGCAGGUUCAGACUCUGAACCCGCAACCGCAGGAGGUGGCCACCUGACGGACCAGGCCCAGCUACAGGAGUAG